rnacentral:tRNA from 1 species
CGCUGGGUAGAGCAGUUGGCAGCUCGUCGGGCUCAUAACCCGGGGGCCGUUGGUUCGAGUCCAACCCCAGCUA